rnacentral:rRNA from 1 species
AUUGAACGCUGGCGGCAUGCCUUACACAUGCAAGUCGAACGGCAGCACGGGGGCAACCCUGGUGGCGAGUGGCGAACGGGUGAGUAAUGCAUCGGAACGUGCCCUGAAGUGGGGGAUAACGUAGCGAAAGUUACGCUAAUACCGCAUAUUCUGUGAGCAGGAAAGCAGGGGAUCGCAAGACCUUGCGCUUUAAGGAGCGGCCGAUGUCGGAUUAGCUAGUUGGUGGGGUAAAGCUCACCAAGGCGACGAUCCGUAGCGGGUCUGAGAGGAUGAUCCGCCACACUGGGACUGAGACACGGCCCAGACUCCUACGGGAGGCAGCAUGGGGAAUUUUGGACAAUGGGCGCAAGCCUGAUCCAGCCAUGCCGCGUGAGUGAAGAAGGCC